AACCUACAUCAAACAGACAAGAACAAAAAAGAGGCAAAGAUGUAGAAGAUGAAUGAAGUAGUAAAAUGAAGCUAAAAUAUGAGAGAAGGUAACAUUUAAGCGUAAUUAAAAUUAAACAAGAAAGAAAGACAAAAACACUAAGUGCAAAAGAACCAGCAAUGAGGUAACAUUUUAGCUGGGUUUUCAAAGGUGAGAAGGGAUUUCCCAGGCCAUCAGACAAAGAGCUAAAGCAGCACAGGUAUAUUUAACUUGUAGCAAAACAGAAAAGGAACUCAAGCAAGAAGGCAUUACACCAGCAGUCUAUAGAGAUGGAUGAUUUCUAUUCUGCUGACCUCAUAAACCAAGUUAUGGUUAGAGUUUAUCACUGUAUCACAAGAAAUCAUUCAAAAACUUCCAAGUACAUUCAAGUUACAGACCAACACAGUUUAUAUUUUGGUUGGGUCACUAUGAAACUAUUUU